AUACGGAGGAUGCAAGCGUUAUCCGGAUUUAUUGGGUUUAAAGGGUGCGUAGGCGGAUGAUUAAGCGUGAGGUGAAAUGCCACUGCUCAACAGUGGAACUGCCUCGCGAACUGGUUGUCUUGAAUGCUCCUGCCGUGGGAGGAAUGUGUGGUGUAGCGGUGAAAUGCAUAGAGAUCACACAGAACACCGAUUGCGAAGGCAUCUCACGAAGGGGUGAUUGACGCUGAGGCACGAAAGCGUGGGGAUCAAACAGGAUUAGAUACCCUGGUAGUCCACGCAGUAAACGAUGAUAACUAACCGCUGGGUCGUAGUGAUUCAGUGGCCAAGCGAAAGCGAUAAGUUAUCCACCUGGGGAGUACGACCGCAAGGUUGAAACUCAAAUGAAUUGACGGAG
rnacentral:rRNA from 1 species